rnacentral:lncRNA from 1 species
GUAAUUCUAUCAAUUUGAUUGAUGACUGAUACAAUAAACUUAAGGUGAAAAAUUAAACAAAUUUAAAUUUUUAAAGUAUUUUUUAUAAUAAAGUAAACUUAAGAUGGAUAACCUAUAAUUUCCAUAUCAUUAUUUGUCCAAAUCCUCCAUUUAGACUAGCCAAAUGAAGUUAUUUGGAAGCUACUCUACCAGGCCCCAAGUUUACUAGUAAACAUGUGAUUGCCAGUCACUAAUAAAAAGAGAAAAAUAACAAAAAAAGCAAUGUUAUUGAGGAUAACCAAAAUAUAUGUGUAGAUUUACACCAAUCAUAUGCAGAAACCAAAUUCCCUCAAAAGUCUAAAAGGCCAUAGAAUACCUUGACUCGCUAUUGUGAUUGAAAAACGUGUGUGGCGAUUAAUGUACGGGCGGAGGAUUUAACGCGGGAAGAAAAAUAGAAGACGACUAUGAGUCUGCUCAUGGUGUCCUUUUCCAGGGUUAAAAUGUUUAUAUAAACUUUGUAAGAGCUUCAUGAAUCCAAUAGCUCCAUCAACCGAAAAGUUAAUUAUAAGCAUGGAUCCGGCAUCC